rnacentral:rRNA from 1 species
CACGUAGGGGACGAGCGUUGUCCGGAUUCAUUGGGCGUAAAGCGCGCGUAGGCGGCCCGGUAAGUCCGUUGUGAAAGUCAAAGGCUCAACCUUUGAACGCCGAUGGAUACUGCCGGGCUAGAGUCCGGAAGAGGCGAGUGGAAUUCCUGGUGUAGCGGUGGAAUGCGCAGAUAUCAGGAGGAACACCAAUAGCGAAGGCAGCUCGCUGGGACGGUACUGACGCUGAGGCGCGAAAGCGUGGGGAGCGAACAGG